GACGAGGGACCUAGCGUUGUUCGGAAUCAUUGGGCGUAAAGCGGGUGUAGGCGGACUUAUAAGUCAGGUGUGAAAUCCCAGGGCUCAACCCUGGAAGUGCACUUGAUACUGUAAGUCUUGAGUGUGGUAGAGGCUAUUAGAAUUCUUGGUGUAGUGGUGAAAUACGUAGAUAUCAGGAGGAAUACCGGAGGCGAAGGCGGAUAGCUGGGCCAACACUGACGUGAGGAGCGAAAGCGUGGGGAGC
rnacentral:rRNA from 1 species